CUGGCUCAGGAUGAACGCUAGCGACAGGCCUAACACAUGCAAGUCGAGGGGCAGCACAAGGAGCAAUCUGAGGUGGCGACCGGCGCACGGGUGAGUAACACGUAUGCAACCUGCCUGUAAGCGGGGAAUAACCCGUUGAAAGACGGACUAAUACCGCAUAAUACUAAAUUACUGCAUGGUAAUUUAUUUAAACAUUUAUGGCUUACAGAUGGGCAUGCGCAUGAUUAGCUAGUUGGAGAGGUAACGGCUCCCCAAGGCAACGAUCAUUAGGGGUUCUGAGAGGAAGGUCCCCCCACACUGGUACUGAGACACGGACCAGACUCCUACGGGAGGCAGCAGUGAGGAAUAUUGGUCAAUGGACGAGAGUCUGAACCAGCCAAGUCGCGUGCAGGAAGAAUUGUCCUAUGGAUUGUAAACUGCUUUUACAGGGGAAUAAAGUGCAUCACGUGUGAUGUUUUGUAUGUACUCUGCGAAUAAGGAUCGGCUAACUCCGUGCCAGCCGCCGC
rnacentral:rRNA from 1 species